rnacentral:rRNA from 1 species
UACGUAGGGUGCAAGCGUUAAUCGGAAUUACUGGGCGUAAAGCGUGCGCAGGCGGUUUUGUAAGUCUGACGUGAAAUCCCCGGGCUCAACCUGGGAACUGCAUUGGUGACUGCAUUGCUGGAGUAUGGCAGAGGGGGGUGGAAUUCCACGUGUAGCAGUGAAAUGCGUAGAGAUGUGGAGGAACACCGAUGGCGAAGGCAGCCCCCUGGGCCAAUACUGACGCUCAUGCACGAAAGCGUGGGGAGCAAACAGG